rnacentral:lncRNA from 1 species
AUCAUCUGCAAACAAGGACAAUCUGACUUCUUCCUUUAUGAACUUUGGAGAAGUUUCCUGUCUGUAAAAAGGAGUCUCCCAUCAGCCUUUGCAGGGAAUUUUUACAGGUCAGCUGCUGCUCCUGGAAGCCAGCAGGUCUUCCUCCAUCAUACAAAAGACAAAUACAUGCAAAGCAGUUUCUAACAGGUCAGCACUGUUUAUAAGUUAACUCUAAAUUGCUUCCCUGGCCCAGUUUUAAGCUCUGCAUUCAUACUUAUCCCUCAUUCUCUAAGUCUCUGACCUGAGAUUAUUUUUUUCUGGUUUGUGGGUCUAGGUGUCAACUCUUGUAAUAUUUACUCUUCCCCAGAUUGAAGCAUUUAUCAUCCUAGACUAUAAUUUCUCUUGCCUACUUUGAUAGCCCCAGGGUUUCCCUAAAUCAGCCUAAUACGUGAAAGAAAGGAGCUAUAAAGAUGCUUUUAUAUAUUACAGCAGAAUAAUUCCUGAAUGAGACUCUACUCAAUUACAGAAAAAUUCAAACCCAACAUCUUUUGCUGUUAUACCAUGUACUGUGAAGCAAUACACGAUAUUUCUCGGUUAGACUGUGCUAAAUGAAAGCUUGUGAAGAAUAUAUGAUUAUGAUCAUUGCUCUAAAACACAAUUUGAGAGACUAAAUUUUGGGGAAAAUUCCAACACCUUGAGCUUUCUACCUAAUAAAUAAGGAACUUAGACAUAAACAGGAAAUAUUUCUUUACUUUUGGUUUCCUGUUUAAAACUUUUUGACUCCUUUUCUGUUGUUGAAUUCACUAUAUCAGAGAAUGAAUGGUCAUUUCUGACACCCCUGAUGAUUUACAGAAAAAUGCUUCCUAACUUCUAGAAUUUCAGUCUCAACCCAGUGCAUUCAUGUGCCUUACUACUUUCUUCGCAUUUUCUGUUAUACGUCUCACAGGCAUUUCAGGUUUGUUUUCCGAAUCUGACCCCUAGACCUUUACCUAUUCCCCAAACCUUUUUUUCUGUCUUUUUUAUCCAGGUAUACCUAUUGUCCCACUCACAGAAUCUGAAAAUUGUGCUGUCUUUACCAUUGCCCUCACAAAAUUCUAUCCCACUUCCAAAAUGUAUUUCAAAAUCAUCUACUUUUCCCAGUCUCCACUCUAAUUCAAAUCACUGUCACUUACAUCCCAGACUGUGCAAUAGCCUCUUUUGCCAUUUUUCCCCUUCUAUGUACUCUUGCCUCCCUCCAAUCCAUUAUCCACAUAGCAAGGGCAAUCUUAAAAUUUAAUGAUCUUCUCUGCUGGAAACUCUUCAGUAACUCCCUGUUGCGUGUUGGAUAUGACCCACAUCUUUAACAUGGUCAGCAAAGCCUCACAUAAUCUGUCCCUUAACAACAUUUCCAUAUUCAUUUUAUAAUAUGCUCCCAGGAGCUUGCCGCAAUCCAGCAUGCUGGUUUUCUUAGUUACUUUAAAGCACUCAAAACUUUCCUCAAUUGUCCUUAGGCCAUGCUGUUCCUCCGGCCUGGCACACACUUCCUUCACUGUCUUUACCAGUCUAAAUUAAAAUACCACUUCCUGACACAUGUACAUUUACAUUUUUUUAAAUUGUUUUGCCUGAUAAUUCUUGCUGGAGGAUUUUCCCUGGCCAACAAAAGCUAGUCGGCCCAUGUAAGAGGCAGGUCACAAGUCCUAAGGAAUUAAUGCUUCCUCUCCUCCCCAUUUCAGGAACAGCCUCCAACCUAUGACUGAUGGGAGUGAGGGGCGACUACCCCAGCUCCCUCAGCUGGAACAAAGAGUAUUGUACUUUAUCUCUAAGUGUUCCUAGAUGGACUGAGCCCCAGUUGCCCAAAUGGUAACCUAUUUAAUAACAUACC